rnacentral:rRNA from 1 species
GACGAACGCUGGCGGCGUGCUUAACACAUGCAAGUCGAGCGGAGCGGCGAACGGGUGAGGAACGCGUGAGUAACUGCCCCCCUCUCUGGGAUAACAGUUGGAAACGGCUGCUAAUACCGGAUAUUGGGGGAUGGCUCGCGGCCUAUCAGCUUGUUGGUGGGGUGAUGGCCUACCAAUGCGGUGACGGGUAGCCGGCCUGAGAGGGUGAACGGCCACAUGGGGAUGAGAUAAGGCCCAGACGCCUACGGGAGGGAGCAGUGGGGGAUAUGGCACAAUGGGCGAAAGCCGGAUGCAGCGACGCCGCGUGGGGGAUGAAGGCUUUCGGGUUGUAAACCCAUUUCGCUAUCGAAAGGGUAGGUGGAGAAGAAGCGCCGGCUAACUACGUGCCAGCAGCCGCGGUAAUUC